rnacentral:rRNA from 1 species
UAUUAUACUAAAAUUUUCUUUUAAAGCUAAAAUAUUAUAAGAUAAGUUCUUUAAAUUUAAAGAAUUUGGCGGUAAUUUAGUCUUUCUGGAGGAACCUGUUUUUUAAUCGAUAAACCACGAGUAAUUUCACUUGUUUUAGUAAAAUUUUUAAAUUAGUUUGUAUACCGUCAUUAUCAGAUAAUAUUUAAAGAACAUUAUUGAGUUUUGAAUAAUAAUAAAAAUUAGAUCAAGGUGCAGCUUAUGAACAAGUUAAAAUGGGUUACAAUUAAAUUUAUAUAAUAAUGAAAUUAAAGUUGAAAUACUUUAAGGAAGGCGGAUUCAGUUGUAAUAGAAGUUAAUAAGGUAAAAAGAUAUAUGCUCUAAAUUAU